GAUCUGGUGGUGUAGUUGGUUAUCACGUCAGUCUAACACACUGAAGGUCUCCGGUUCAAGUCCGGGCUAGAUCA
rnacentral:tRNA from 1 species